rnacentral:rRNA from 1 species
UAAGGAAUAUUGGUCAAUGGACGCAAGUCUGAACCAGCCAUGCCGCGUGAAGGAUGACGGCCCUAUGGGUUGUAAACUUCUUUUGUACGGGAAAAAAUCCCUGGUCGUGAACCGGGGUUGAUGGUACCGUAAGAAUAAGCAUCGGCUAACUCCGUGCCAGCAGCCGCGGUAAUACGGAGGAUGCAAGCGUUAUCCGGAUUCAUUGGGUUUAAAGGGUGCGCAGGCGGAAUGAUAAGUCAGUGGUGAAAUCCUACAGCUUAACUGUAGAACUGCCAUUGAUACUAUCGUUCUUGAGUACAUUUGAAGUGGGCGGAAUGUGUCAUGUAGCGGUGAAAUGCUUAGAUAUGACACAGAACACCGAUCGCGAAGGCAGCUCACUAAGUUGUAACUGACGCUCAGGCACGAAAGCGUGGGGAUCAAACAGG